rnacentral:rRNA from 1 species
GUGGGGAAUUUUGGACAAUGGGCGCAAGCCUGAUCCAGCAAUGCCGCGUGCAGGAAGAAGGCCUUCGGGUUGUAAACUGCUUUUGUACGGAACGAAACGGUCCUGGCUAAUACCUGGGGCUAAUGACGGUACCGUAAGAAUAAGCACCGGCUAACUACGUGCCAGCAGCCGCGGUAAUACGUAGGGUGCGAGCGUUAAUCGGAAUUACUGGGCGUAAAGCGUGCGCAGGCGGUGCUGUAAGACAGGCGUGAAAUCCCCGGGCUCAACCUGGGAAUUGCGCUUGUGACUGCAGUGCUGGAGUGCGGCAGAGGGGGAUGGAAUUCCGCGUGUAGCAGUGAAAUGCGUAGAUAUGCGGAGGAACACCGAUGGCGAAGGCAAUCCCCUGGGCCUGCACUGACGCUCAUGCACGAAAGCGUGGGGAGCAAACAGGAUUAGAUACCCCGGUAGUCC